AACCCAUGGUGAGGGCACCUUCUAAGUAAGUCCUUCUAUCUCUCCCAUGCAUCGUAAAGUGUUUCUAAAUCUAUCUGCACAAAAGAAGAAAUACCAUUACGUAACUU
rnacentral:snoRNA from 1 species